ACAAAAACUAGGUUCCAAGACCUGAGGAUGGGAAAGUUAUAGUUUAGAAUAUUAAUGUUAGAUUCACUACUGCUGUUGACCUUAUUAAUGAGGAAAUUGUACUUGAAAAGCAGAAGUAAUUGAAGAACUAUUUACAGAGGAGCAAGCCAUAAAGAUUUUGUCCAUCCCUCUAGUAAACAGCUCCAUGCCAAAUACUCUUGUAUGGAGAUGUGAUAGUAUGGGAGAAUACUCCGUUAAAAGUAAAGAUAAAUGGUGCAUUACAACAAACCAGAGUGAAGCCUAUACAGAUACUAAUCUAAAAAACGAUGCCCUCAAAACUUAUUAUACAAGACUCUGGAGUCUUAACAUCCCAAAUAAAAUUAGAAUACAUCUAUGGAAGGUUACAAAUAAUUGUUUGCCUACGUUUCAAAAUCUUCAGUAUAUGAUAUUAAGGAAUAAGGCCCUCUGCUCGAUAUGUGCUAUGGAGGACGAAUCAAUAGUGCAUAUCUUUUGAGAUUGUAUGUUUGUGAAACAUGUGCUUCAAGAGGUGGGUUUGAUGGUUUCGCAAACAAAUAUACAUCAAGAGUGGAAAAUAUGGUUAGCAUAUGUGUUCGAGGAAAACAACAAUACAUAGAACAUAAAUAGAGCAGUAUCUUUUUGGGCAGUCUGGCAUUACAGAAACAAAUUAGUGCAUGAAGGAAUAAGAGAGCGGAUCAGCGAGGUGAUCAAAUUUGUUAAAGCAUAUGUUGCAGAACUAAGCCAGUUAGAGGAGAUUUCAACAACCCAUUUUUUACAAAGAGAGACACAAUGGGAACCCCUAGAAGGAGACACAAUUAAAGUAAAUUUUGAUACUUUCUAUCAAAAGUAGUUACAAAAAGGGAUAGCAGACAUAGUGUUAAGGAAUAAUCUAGGGUAGAUUAUAGGGGCGUGUGCUUACCCGCUCAACAGCAUCCAAGACCCAGUAACAGUUGAAGCAUAUGCCUGUUUACGAGUGGUCAUCUACUCGAAGAACUGGGUUUCAACAAUAUCUGCGUCGAAGGGGAUGCACUCACGAUCCUGAAGAAAUUAGAAGUCCAAAUGACUAACAGAUCUGUAAUAGGGAACAUAAUGAAGGAAAUUCAAUAGAGAAGGGAGAGAUUUAGAGCUUUUACCUCACAAUUUGUCCUACGCUCGGUGAACAAAGCUGUACAUGAAAUGUCCAUUUGGGGAUGUUGGUGUGAGGAGCCAAGAUACUGAGUGGAAGAGGCUCCACUAGAGGUCGAAGCAAUCACUACAAAGGAGUACGGUGGAAAGUUUGGUUUUUUUUUUUUUGUGAACUAUGCCCGAAGUUGUUUUGCUGAAUCUCUGUAUUUAGGAGAUAAUCUGAAGAGCUCAAUUUUUAGAGAUGUGGGGAAAAAGGAAAGAGGUUUAAUUGAAGCCUAGUGCGAGGCUGCCACUCUCAAAAGAAUAUUGUCCGAUGCAUCUAUGCCGUUUGAUGUGGUGAGGAAGAUGAAUGGAUUAGGAUAGUUUGAUUUUGUUUAGUUUAGGAGAUGAAAUGUUUUUUGUUUUGGUUGUUUUUUUUCAACUCCUUAGGGUUCCUUUAAUUGUUUUAAGUUUAGGGUUGUUAGGGGUAUCCCCAAGGCACCGCCCUUUUGCUGAGCUAAUCUGUUGCCAGCUAGAUGGGUAGGG
rnacentral:lncRNA from 1 species